UGGAUUCUUCUAUAUAUGAUAUUCAAUAUAUUUAUCUAUUUUUAUGAAAGGUAUUUUUAGGAUUUUUUUCAGUACUUUAUUAAGUUGUGUUCAAUUGUAUUGAUUUUUAUUUUUAUUUACAGAACCUGGAUUUUUUUAUUCUUAAACCAAGGAUUCUUCGGAAGCCAAGUUGCCAUAAAUUUAAAUUGAUCUAUCUAAUUUUGUUUCAAAAUAUUCAAAUUUUAAUUCAUUUCAUUUUAUAUUUUUUUUCAGAACUUGGAUUUUAUUUUUUUGAUUCAAACUUAAGAAAGUGUCUUUCAAGAUCUAGAACUUGGAUAUUUUUUUUGGAUCGACCCAAAACAAUUUUCCUCCGGGAGCCGGGGAUCCCCUUUUCGUUUCUAUUUUUGAACCUGACACAUUGAAUAUUUAAUGAACUUGGAUUUUUAUCAUUUCAAUCUAAAGGAGGUGUCCUUCGAGAGCCGGAACUUGGAUUUUCCUUUGUUUCAACCUAAACAUAGUGUGUUUCGAGAGCCAGAACUUGGAUUUUUUUUUUGGAUCGACCCAAAUCAAUUUUCCUCCGGGAGCCGGGGAUCCCCUUUUCGUUUCUUCUUUUGACCUCGUCACUUUAAAUAUUUUAUGGUAUGUUUCGUUUCAGAACUUGGAUUUCUUAUCGUCUCAACCUAUAGGAGAUGGCCUUUGAGCGCUGGGUAACCAUUUAUAAUUUAUUUUUGUUGAAUUUUAUACAUUAAAUAUUUAAUGGAAUAAAAAUCAAAUUCAUUUAAUUCACAUAAAAAAUCUUAGUAAAUCUAAUAUGUUUGUUUUCAAAACUUGGAUUUUUCUUUGUUGCUACAUAAUGAAAUUGUCCGUCUAGAACUAUGAACCAGUUAAUUUUUUUUGAUUUUUAUACCAUCAAUAGAUAAUGGAAUAAUAAUUUAAUUCAUUUAACUUACAUAAAAUAUCUUAAAUCUUAACUAAUUAGAAUAUACUCUUUAAAUCCCGUUCAUAAUUAUGAUGUAUAAUUAAAUUUAAAAAUUAUCACUCUAAUUGUAUUUAAAAACUAGUUUAUUUACCUGCCUUCGCACGGGACAUUCUUGGCUGUGGCGUAGGUUGUUUAUUACCCUACUUUAUUUAAAUCCAUUGUUGGUGUAACUGUUGGUGGUUAUUUAACAAAUAUAAUAUUUCAAAUGAAUCGGUAUAAUUGUUUUGGUGGUACGCUGAAUUACUGUAUUUGCUGGUUCCAAUAUUUUUAAAAUCCCUUCUUAUUCCAUGUAUUGAAUAUUGGAUAGAUCACCAUUCAAAUUUAAACUUCAUAUUGUUUUGAGAUGUAGUGAUGAUCAGUGAAUGAGUUAUACCUGUCUUUGCCCAUUAAGAAAAUUUUGAGUUUUCAACUGCUUUUGGGUGUACUCAUACAACCUAUGCCUUUUCAAAUAUAAAUCACCCGAAAUAACGGUUGAAAUAAUAUUUUGUUAUGUAUUUUAAUAUGUAAAUAUUAAAUAUUGCCAUAUCUAUCACGCCUUGCUGUGCUAUAUUUAGACAUAUACUUAUUAACUUACAGCAAUGUUUAAUUUAUUUUGGAUCAUUAUUUUUUUUAUUUAAUCAUUUUAUCGAGAAGUCUGACAAUUCGAGGUUUCAAAUAUAUGCUAUUUAUUGUAGUGUAUUUGGAUUACACUAUAAUUGAUGUUUUUCCUUUUGUAGUGUGAACAAAGUAAAUAGGAAGAUUUUCUGAUGCAUUAGCAGGACACACACAGUUGUCCAUUUGAGAAGCAUGAAUUUUCAAAAUUCAGUUCACAUAUUUGUUUUAAUUAUCCUUGUGUUUUGUUAAUGAUCAUUGCAAAAUUGAGUCGCGCUGGAAACUGCGAUUUUAAUAAUUUUCAUAAUUCUUA
rnacentral:lncRNA from 1 species